CUCCAAACCACGUGACCGUGCUUUUUGCUCCUGAUUGGCCGACUGACUCGGCAGCACCCAACUGGAAAGUCUUCCAUGGGCUCCAAAAUUCGACUUUGAAAUCAUCAUUACUUGUUUAUUGUUCCUCACAGAAGCAAUUUUAUUUCAGCAGUAGGACGUUUGAACUGGACCCGACGUUGUUUUGGGCAAGCUCAGCUUCAGCCAAAUCAAACGAGCUCACUGGGCCUCAUCACGCUCGCCUGUCACCCUCGCCCGAGUGAUGCCACGAAUCGCACAAAGGCCAGACACCGGUGCCGUGCUGAUGAUGCAAAUGCCCAUCCGGAUGCCAACCUGUCUGUGUGGUUGUGCGCGUGCGUGCGUGUGCGUGCGUGCGUGCGCACCCGCAUGAAGGCCACAAUGCACAUUAGGCAGUUUGCUGAUCAAACAGAAAAACUGUAAACAGACGCACAUGAGCCAUGCAUAU